GUCUACAGCCAUGCCACCCUGAACAAGCCGGAUCCCGUCUGAUCUAGGAAGCUAAGAAGGUUCGGGCCUGAUUAGUACUUGGAUGGGAGACCACCUAGGAAGACCAGGUGCUGCUGCCG
rnacentral:rRNA from 1 species